UGAACCAGUUUCAACAGCUUUGUGAUGAUUUUUUUUCUUUUUUCUGUCUCUUUUUUAUAUUUAUCUUCUCUCGUGGCUCGUAGAUGGCUGAAAGAAGAAGGAAGAGGAGGAGGAGGAAGAGAAGAAGGAGGAGAACGAGGAAGAGGAAAGGUAGGAAGAGGAGGAGGGCUGUGUGGAAAGAUGAAGUAUGAAGAGAAGCCUCAACCCACCCCGUGAAGCACCGUAAGGGCACGCGACUCUGACCUCAAGAGCCUAGAGCCCUGCGCAGUGGUCAACAGUGGAAAGUGAGCCGAACUCGAUCUCUUGCCAGCCACCACCGGAAAAGCUAUGAACCAGCGGCACUCUCGAUGCAUUUAUGUAUCGGCAGCCGCCACGCCGCCGCUCACACAGUGCUUCUUCGCCGGAAGGGUUGGCGGUGGCUGCAAGUUUAAGAGCGAGACGCCGUACCCUUAUCAGUGGUGACUGCGCCGGGGCUCACGCACACUUGCCUUUUGUUGCGUUGCAGUAAAAGUAAAAUUGCUGAACACCCGAGGGCUACAAGGUCGACGAGUACGUGUUAAAGGCACCUGCAGCACCACCUCAGCCUGAGUGAUGGCAGGGAAGAGCUGGAGGGCGGUGGUGGUGGUGGUGGUGGUGGUAGUUAUAUUCCAGGAAAGUAAGAUGAAGCUAUCUAUCUAAUUUUGUUUUUAAUGUUGACAGUAUUCUCUCUCUCUCUCUCUCUCUCUCUCUCUCUCUCUCUCUCUCUCUCUCUCUCUCUCUCUCUCUCUCUCUUUCUCGCUUACCAGCACGUUUAUUUAAUUUUCAUUCAAUUUUAAAUGUUUAUCUUUGUUUAUGUCUGCUUGUUUGUCUGUCUGUCUGUCUGUGUGUCUGUGUAUGCCAGUGAAAGUCAGUGUAAAUGUCUACCGGUUGGUCUGUCUUUUUUGUCAGCUUACCUGUAUUUCAGUGUAUGCAUGUUCCUUAAACACACACACAAAACACCUAAAAUGUCUCUGUCCGUUUUCUAUGGAGCAUAUUUUCAUUAACUCUUUCAAAAUUAACUUAAUUACCAUUUCGUUCCGUUUUCUUUCUGUCUUGUUUUCGUCUCCCCACUUUUCUCCCUCCCUCUACCACCCCAGUACUAGCCUCCUUCCACCCCUUUACACCUUUCUCAUACGCCUUUACCCGUAGCGUCCCUUCCCUCGUCCCUUCUAGCCUCCAUCUCUCCUCUCUCUCUCUCUCUCUCUCUCUCUCUCUCUCUCUCUCUCUCUCUCUCUCUCU